CAGCCGCCACGGUAAUGCGAAGGGUGCAAGCGUUAAUCGGAAUUACUGGGCGUAAAGCGUGCGUAGGCGGUUUGUUAAGUCUGCUGUGAAAUCCCCGGGCUCAACCUGGGAAUGGCAGUGGAUACUGGCUCGCUAGAGUGUGUCAGAGGAUGGUGGAAUUCCCGGUGUAGCGGUGAAAUGCGUAGAGAUCGGGAGGAACAUCAGUGGCGAAGGCGGCCAUCUGGGACAACACUGACGCUCAUGCACGAAAGCGUGGGGAGCGAACAGGAUUAGAUACCCCCGUAGUCCCUGUCUCUUAUAC
rnacentral:rRNA from 1 species